rnacentral:rRNA from 1 species
GGGCCCGCACAAGCGGUGGAGCAUGUUGUUUAAUUCGAUGCAACGCGAAGAACCUUACCACCCCUUGACAUACUCGGAACUUUCUAGAGAUAGAUUGGUGCCUUCGGGAACCGAGAUACAGGUGCUGCAUGGCUGUCGUCAGCUCGUGUCGUGAGAUGUUGGGUUAAGUCCCGUAACGAGCGCAACCCUUGUCCUUAUUUGCCAGCGACUCGGUCGGGAACUCUAAGGAGACUGCCGGUGAUAAGCUGGAGGAAGGUGGGGAUGACGUCAAGUCCUCAUGGCCCUUAUGUGUUGGGCUACACACGUGCUACAAUGGUACUUACAAUGAGAAGCAAAGAUGCAAGUCCUAG